rnacentral:rRNA from 1 species
CUACGGGCGGCUGCAGUGGGGAAUAUUGCACAAUGGAGGAAACUCUGAUGCAGCAACGCCGCGUGGAGGAUGACACUUUUCGGAGCGUAAACUCCUUUUAUAUAGGAAGAAGAUGACGGUACUAUAUGAAUAAGCGCCGGCUAACUCCGUGCCAGCAGCCGCGGUAAUACGGAGGGCGCAAGCGUUACUCGGAAUCACUGGGCGUAAAGCGCGUGUAGGCGGAUUAAAAAGUCAGAAGUGAAAUCCUAUAGCUUAACUAUAGAACUGCUUCUGAAACUCUUAAUCUAGAAUAUGGGAGAGGUAGAUGGAAUUUCUGGUGUAGGGGUAAGAUCCGUAGAGAUCAGAAGGAAUACCGAUUGCGAAGGCGAUCUACUAGAACAUUAUUGACGCUGAGACGCGAAAGCGUGGGGAGCAAACAGGAUUAGAUACCCCUGUAGUC